CGUGAGCAACCUGCCUCUAGAGAGAGGGAUAGGCUUCUGGAAACGGAAUGGUAAUACCUCAUAACAUAUUUAAAUCGCAUGAUUUGGAUAUCAAAGAAAUUCGACUCAGAGAUGGGCUCGCGUCUGAUUAGAUAGUUGGUGAGGGUAACGGCUCACCAAGUCGACGAUCAGUAGCCGGACUGAGAGGUUGAACGGCCACAUUGGGACUGAGACACGGCCCAGACUCCUACGGAAGGCAGCAG
rnacentral:rRNA from 1 species